GCCGAGCUCACGAGCCGCUCGCGAGCUUGUGUUUUUUUAAAUAUAUAUUUUUUUGCACCUUUUUUUUUUUUAAAAUUCGAUUUUUUGGACGAGCCUAUGAGCCGAGCUCAUGGGAUCGAGCCCCCUGCUCGGCUCGUGACGAGCCCGAGCCGCCCACGAGCCGAGCGGCCGAGCCGACGAGCCGCUCAACCCGUUUGACAUCCCUACGGUUGCAUCAAACAACUCAAAAUUUGAACACGUAACAAGUCGAUUAGUUGGUUGCAUGCACUGAUUGCAUUAGCAACUCAAAUGUUUGGUAGAGGUGUCGAACACGUUGCUAGUUAUUGCAAUGGGCUUGGCUUAACCUUUUUGACACCUCUACUUAGCGCAAGUAUUCAUUCAAAGUCUAUAAAGGUCUCAAUUUUACCUAUUCCGACAAAAUCCGAUGAUAAAGAAGUAAGUACAGCUGCAGGUACACUUUUUAAUAGACCAUUUUUAUUUUUUAUUUUUUAUUUUUUUUGCCAACUUUAGCUAGUAUUGUGUAUUUGCUAAAUUUAAUAUUUUUCUGUAGCUUUUUCGUGGUGGCAAAUUCUGUUGGUGGUUUUUAUCUAGUUCUUUCUCCGGCCCUGUCCGUCUUCCAUAUGUUAAAGAGUGGGAUGCAAGUAACCAGAAUUUUCUUGAUUAUCUUUGACACGGUAUGAAAACUAAUAUUUAUUCUUUACGUCUUUCAGUUUUUUGAUUGCGUGUGUUGGACUAUGUAGAGACUAAUUGUUUUAAAUAUUUAUAUAUUCACAACCAUGGAUCAGCCUGGUAUAAUAGGAAUAUUUGGCAGUCUUAGAUUUUUGUUAUCGCCCUAAUAUUCAUACUAUGUAAAAGAUUUAUUAGGUAGCUGUUUUUAUGCACGAGGAAGUGAUUGCCAUUACAUUGAAAAUGCGACAUCCAAUGAAAGUAACUGUAAAAUUGAGAGUGAACCACUAUAAACCGUGUGUUCUUUAUUCAUUUUCACAUUGUUUUCCUUUUAUUGUCGCUCUCAUAAAUAGGGAUUAGUGUUUAAUCAUUUUCGUAUUUGCCAAUGGAAAAAUGUGUAAUGGGUAUUUUUAUUUUGAUAUUCUCUUGUGAGGUAUUUAUUUUAAUUCCUUGUAUUUUCAACCUAAGAUAUUCUAAAUAGGUAGAAUAUAAUGUAUCAAAAAAUAUCGUAGCUCCUUUGCUUGUGUUCGAUUGGCAAUUUCACCUUAUAUUUGGUGAUCGAGAACACUAAUUCAUGUUCUGAAAUACUAAACAUGCAUGUUGGAUGCAUCAUUUGUUUGCAAAAACACAAACAUUUAAAUGAAAGAAUACAACUUCUAUCAUAUAUAAUAUAUAUUUACACCAAGACACAACAAUUUCAAAGUAAUUAGAACUAUGGUACGAAAGUUAGCAAGGACAAGGAUCUAUUAAUUGUGGAGGAAGGAAUAAUGAUUAGAUCAUGAACAAAGAAGGUCAAGGAAGCCAUGGAAUUACUUGCAAAGUGAUGAAACAUUGAUUACAACAAGUAAAUGGAUAAAUUUCAUGUUGGGCUUAGGAGUGAAAACAAGAUGAGUGGACAUAUUUCAAACAAAUAAAAAAGUUGUUCGAGACAACUAUGUGACCCACAUGUCAGCCUACCGAAAUAAAAUUAAGGCAUAUUGGAUGAACUAGACAAUCACAUGGAGAGCAAUUAUGCGGUCGCAUAUAGCAAUUUUGGAACUGAAUUUUUCUAAUUUCGAGAGUAAUUCUAUUUUACUUAAAACUCUAGUAUUACGGUAAUUCUUAAUAUUUAGACUUUUAAGUAGGUUUUAUGGGUUCCUUAUAAAUAGGACCUAAAUAUUUCAUUGUAAAGAUAAACAUUUUCUUGAAAGAUAUUAUUGCAAGGCAUUUUGCUUUUUGAAAGUUAAAAUUAGCCGAUUCAUUUAGUCUCAACGUUCAGAAUUAUACAAUUAAAAACAAUAAGUCACUUUUAAUGGUUCCUAAAUGAUAAGUCAAUCAAGUACAAUUAUCCUAUGAUUUGAAUGUCACAAUCAAUAAUUAAAGCAGUAAAGAACACCAAAAAUGAUCACGGAGAAAUCCCAACUAGGUAAAAGCUCCGAGCAAAUAAUCCAUUAUAAACUAUAAGACUUAUAGCAUGGUCCAGGCCCAACUAACUCUUAAUCCCCUUUGACCUUCUCCAUGAUGACCUUGGCCCUUUUGGACUGCUUGUUGCUCACACUAGCUCCCAAUCCCCGAUAUCGUUUAUCUUUUGUGGAUUUCCAAGAAUGAACUUUGUUCUUCCAAUCGAACCUUGUUCCGUAGCAUCGGAACUCCAAGCUCCUGUUUCCAAAAUUUCAGUAACUCUGAAAACCAAUUGGCGAAGGUAGGUGAUAAAUGUGUUUUUACGCACUUAUUUAAUAUCUAAAUAUGUUAUUUAUUGAUUAAAUUAAUGGAAUUCUACUUACAAUUAUGUAAUAUUUGCUUUUGUAGGCCAAAAAUAACCGAAGCAAAGAUAACGAGACAAAAGGAAGUGAAAAGGACCAAAAGCGCACAAAAAUGUAAAGUUGGAGACCAAAGUGCACAAGUUUCGAAAGUUGGGGACCUAAGGUUUCAAUUUUGGAGGGCAAAAGUGAUAUGAAAAUCAAGUUUUGAGGACUAGAUUGUACAUGAUCAAAGUUGAGGAGCCUUGUGUACAAUUAAAUGAAAGAUUAAGUUGGGAAAAGAAAUGAAGAAUGCCCGCGUGUGUGCGCGCAUGGGAGACCUUUUUGAUUUACUGAGACCAAAAGGAUUUCACGAUGAGCGCGUGGGACGAAUGCCCACGCUCUCGCAUUGCUUUUCGGCUGGGCGAAUUUUGUCUAUUUCACGUAAAUUUCGGGAUUUCUUUUACAAUUUCACUUGACGCGAUUUUGGUCAUUUUCUAGGGGAUUCUAGGUUUUGGGGGCUUUGUCUUCUUCCUCUUUCAUUUUUUCUUUCUUUUCUUUUCCUUUCCCUUGGUAUUUUGAAGGCACAAUCUAAAGCACAAGGAGAUUCAAUUAAAGAUUCGGCAAGAUUUUGGGGAAAUCAAGAGCAAGUUCAAAAAGG
rnacentral:lncRNA from 1 species